UCAAACACUGGUCGAAACUGC
rnacentral:siRNA from 1 species